UGGGAGAAUGAACAAUGAUCAUGCAGCCUC
rnacentral:piRNA from 1 species